GGCGGGGUAACGGCCCACCGAGGCGACGAUGCGUAGGGGUUCCGAGAGGAAGGUCCCCCACAUUGGAACUGAGACACGGUCCAAACUCCUACGGGAGGCAGCAGUGAGGAAUAUUGGUCAAUGGCCGGAAGGCUGAACCAGCCAAGUCGCGUGAGGGACGACUGCCCUAUGGGUUGUAAACCUCUUUUAUAAGGGAAGAAUAAAUGCUACGUGUAGCAUGAUGCCUGUACCUUAUGAAUAAGCAUCGGCUAACUCCGUGCCAGCAGCCGCGGUAAUACGGAGGAUGCGAGCGUUAUCCGGAUUUAUUGGGUUUAAAGGGUGCGUAGGCGGUUUUUUAAGUUAGUGGUUAAACGUCGGGGCUUCACCUUGAUUUGCCAUUAAUACUGUAAGACUCGAGUUCAGACGAGGUAGGCGGAAUAAGUUAAGUAGCGGUGAAAUGCUUAGAUAUAACUUAGAACUCCGAUAGCGAAGGCAGCUUACCAGACUGCGACUGACGCUGAAGCACGAGAGCGUGGGUAGCGAACAGGAUUAGAUACCCUGGUAGUCCACGCCGUAAACGAAGCUCACUGGUUCUGUGCGACAUACCGUACGGG
rnacentral:rRNA from 1 species